UACGAAGGGGGCUAGCGUUGUUCGGAGUUACUGGGCGUAAAGGGCGCGUAGGCGGCCCUCCAAGUCGGGUGUGAAAGCCCACGGCUCAACCGUGGAAUUGCACUCGAGACUGAAGGGCCUCGAGGACGGGAGAGGAUGGUGGAAUUCCCGAGUGUAGAGGUGAAAUUCGUAGAUAUUGGGAAGAACACCGGUGGCGAAGGCGGCAUCUGGACCGUAUCUGACGCUGAGGCGCGAAAGCGUGGGGAGCAAACAGGGAGUUAAGAUACC
rnacentral:rRNA from 1 species